GAUGAACGCUGGCGGCGUGCCUAAUACAUGCAAGUCGAGCGGUAAGGUCCCUUCGGGGAUACACGAGCGGCGGACGGCUGAGUAACACGUAGGAACGUACCCCAAAGUGAGGGAUAAGCACCAGAAAUGGUGUCUAAUACCGCAUGUGCUCUAAGGAGUAAAGCUUCGGCGCUUUGGGAACGGCCUGCGUCCGAUUAGCUAGUUGGUGAGGUAAUAGCUCACCAAGGCGACGAUCGGUAGCUGGUCUGAGAGGAUGAUCAGCCAGACUGGGACUGAGACACGGCCCAGACUCCUACGGGAGGCAGCAGUAGGGAGUUUUCCACAAUGGGCGAAAGCCUGAUGGAGCAACGCCGCGUGCAGGAUGAAUGCCUUCGGGUUGUAAACUGCUUUUAUAUGUGACGAUUAUGACGGUAACAUAUGAAUAAGGAUCGGCUAACUCCGUGCCAGCAGCCGCAGUAA
rnacentral:rRNA from 1 species